rnacentral:lncRNA from 1 species
AUGGGCUUCUUAAAGUAUUUCUUGUUUGAGUACUGAAUCAUUGGGUAUGCAAAUUUUAUUUUCGAAUCUCAAUAAACCAUCAUCAUGUAUCUUAAAUUCAGAUUGAAUACCAACUUUCACUGAAUCUCUUAUUUUCAUUAAUUGUAGAUCACCAUUCUAGGCUACUUUAAUUCUUUCAAUGUGUUGGCUGAACCCUCAUGUUGGCUAAUCGUACUG